CCUACGGGUGGCAGCAGUCGAGAAUUUUUCUCAAUGGGCGAAAGCCUGAAGGAGCGACGCCGCGUGGAGGAUGAAGGUCUUCGGAUUGUAAACUCCUGUCAUCGGUGAGCAAAACCGAACCCUAAUACGAAUUCGGUAUUGAUAGUAGCCGAAGAGGAAGAGACGGCUAACUCUGUGCCAGCAGCCGCGGUAAUACAGAGGUCUCAAGCGUUGUUCGGAAUUAUUGGGCGUAAAGGGUGCGUAGGCGGCAGAGUAAGUUGGGUGUGAAAUGCCGAGGCUUAACCUCGGCACUGCAUUCAAUACUGCUCCGCUCGAGCGCUAACGAGGAGGUUGGAAUUUACGGUGUAGCAGUGAAAUGCGUAGAUAUCGUAAGGAACGCCAGUGGCGAAAGCGAACCUCUAGAUAGUUGCUGACGCUGAGGCACGAAAGCUAGGGGAGCAAACGGGAUUAGAUACCCGUGUAGUC
rnacentral:rRNA from 1 species